CCGCCUCGGCCUCCCAAAGUGCUGGGAUUACAGGCGUGAGCCACCACGCCCGGCUUUAUAUAUGUAUUUCUAUAUCCAAUUUUUAUUUAUGGCAACUGAUAGCAGUAUUUAACUAUUUCUGACAAGAAUUAUUAGGAUCAAAGUCCACAAGUUUGAGGAUUAAGUCACAGAGCUGGGAGUUACAGUUCGAAUCUUGGUCCUGCCACAGCCUUGGAAAAAUAAAUUUUCUGAACCUCAGCUUUUCCUCUGUAAAAGUGAGAUGCUGACUUAAACCAACACCUGUUCAACCCACUGAUUAUGAAUGCAAGGGUCAAAUGCCAAAAUUUGAAAGUAGCAAACACACAAAAACAAGUAUCACAAACAAAGAUAGUUGUUUUACCACCUGGUUUUAUUAACUUGCCACAGGCCCCUGAGGUAGCAUCACUCCCUUAAUACUUCAGUUUUAUGUUAUUUAUUUUUUCUCUUUUUUUUUUUUUGUGUGACGGAGUCUCACUCUGUUGCCCAGACUGGAACGCAGUGGCGUGAUCUCGGCUCACUGCAACCUCCACCUCCCGGGUUCAAGUGAUUCUCCUGCCUCAGUCUCCCAAGUAGCUGGGAUUACAGGCGUGCGCCACCACGCCCAGCUAAUUUUUGUUAGACGGGGUUUCACCAUGUUGGCCAGGAUGGUCUUGAGCUCUUGACCUUGUGAUCCACCCACCUCAGCCUCCCAAAGUGCUGGGAUCACAUGCGUGAGCCACCGCAUCCAGCCUUAUUAAUUUUUUGAGACGGGGCUUGCUCUGUCACCUAGGCUGGAGUGCAGUGAUGCAGUCUUGGCUCACUGCAGCCUCAACCUCCCAAGCUCAAGCAAUUCUUCCACCUCAGCCUCCUGAAUAGUUGGUAGUACAGGUGUGUACCAUACCCGAUUAAUUUUUGUGUAUUUUGUAAUUUUGUGUAUUUUGUAGAGACAGGAUUUCACCAUGUCGCCUAGGCUGGUCUCGAACUCCUGGACUCAAGCGAUCCUCCCACCUUGGCCUCCCAAAGUGUUGUAGUUACAGGUGGGAGGAUCACUUGAGGUCAGGAGUUUGAGACCAGCUUGGCCAACAUGGUGAAACCCCAUCUCUACUAAAAAUACAAAAACUAGCUGGGCAUCAUGGCAUAUGCCUGUAAUCCCAGCUACCCAGGAGGCUGAGGCAAGAGAAUCACUUGAACCUGGGAGGCAGAGGUUGCAGUGAGCCGAAAUCGUGCCACUGCACUCCAGCCUGGGUGUCAGAGUGAGACUCUGUCUCAACAACAACAACAACAACAAAAAUACAAUUUACCAUAACCUAGCUAAGUACCAGCUGUGUACACUAACUUACUUCUUUUCAUAGAAUUCUGUUUCAGGGUUACUGAAGUACAACAUAACCAGAAUCUAUGAUUCCAUAUAGAUUUCCAGACCAGAAAAUGCUUUAUCCUUCCAAGCCACCUCCAGUAACUUACAAUGCUCAUCUGGUAAACAGGUUGUUUUACAAAAAACUUCCCUGUAACAUCCCAAUAGUCAUGACACUGUCAAUUGCCUGGUUUUGUAUUUUUAAUAGGGAACGAGGGCCGGGCACGGUGGCUCACGUCUGCAAUCCCAGCACUUUGGGAGGCUGAGGCAGGCGGAUCACCUGAGGUCAGGAGUUUGAGGCCAGCCUGACCAACAUGAUGAAAUCUCAUCUCUACUAAAAAAUACAAAAAUUAGCCGGGCGUGGUGGCAUGCGCCUGUAAUCCCAGCUACUUGGGAGGCUGAGACAGGAGAAACGCUUGAACCCAGGAGGCGGUGGUUGGGGCGAGUGCCACUGCACUCCAGCCUGGGCAACAAGAGCGAAACUCUGUCUCAAAAAAAAACUUAAAAAAAUCAAAACAAAAAUGUUACUUAUUUAUUUAUUUUUUUGAGCUGGAGUCUCACUAUGUUGCCCAGGCUGGAGUGCAGUGGUGCAAUCUCUGCUUGCUGCAAGCUCCACCUCCCGGGUUCACGCUAUUCUCCUGCCUCAGCCUCCUGAGUAGCUGGGACUACAGAUGCCUGCCACCACGCCCAGCUAUUUUUUUUUUUUUUUUUUUUUUGAGACGGAGUCUUGUUCUGUCGCCCAGGCUGGAGUGCAGUGGCGCAAUCUCGGCUCACUGCAAGCUCCGCCUCCCAGGUUCAUGCCAUUCUCCUGCCUCAGCCUCCUGAGUAGCUGGGACUAUAGGUGCCCGCCACCACGCCCCGGUAAUUUUUUGUAUUUUUAGUAGAGACGGGGUUUCACCAUGUUAGCCAGGAUGGUCUCGAUCUCCUGACCUCGUGAUCCACCUGACUGGGCCUCCCAAAGUGCUGGGAUUACAGGCGUGAGCCACCGCGCCCGGCCAAUUUUUUUGAAUUUUUAGUAGAGAUGGGGUUUCACCGUGUUAGCUAGGAUGGUCUCCAUCUCCUGACGUCGUGAUCCACCUGCCUCGGCCUCCCAAAGUGCUGGGAUUACAGGCUUGAGCCACCGGGCCCAUCCACUUAUUUUACUUUUUGAGACAGUCUCACUCUGUUGUCCAAGAUGGAGUGCAGUGGCACGAUCGUGGCUCACUGCAGCGUUGAACUCCCAGGCUCAGGUGAUCCUCCCAUCUCAGCCUUCCUGAAUAGCUGGGACUACAGACAUGGUCCAACAUGUCUGGCUAAUUUUUCUAUGUAUACAUAUUUUCAAUUCUCAUUCAACACCUUUGGUAAAUUUUUGUACUUUUUGUAGAGACGGGGUUUUGCCAUAUUGCCCAGGCUGGUGUUGAACUCCUAAGCUCAAAUGAUUUGCCUGCUUUACCCUUCCAAAUAUUUUAGUUUUUGAGAAAGCUCUCACUAUUUUACCUAAACUGGUCUUGAACUCCUGAUCUCAAGCAAUCCUCCUACCUCAGCCUUCCAAAGAGCUGGGAAUGGCAAAAAUGUUACUUAUCAAAAUGAAAGGCCAGGUGUGGUGGUUCACUCCUAUAAUCCCAGCACUUUGGAAAUGCGAGGCAGGUGGAUCACCUGAGGUCAGGAGUUCAAGACCAGCCUGGCCAAUAUGGUGAAACCCCAUCUCUAUUAAAAAUACAACAAUUUGCCAGGCAUGUUGGCACAGGCCUGUAAUCCCAGCUACUGAGGAGGCUGAGGCAGGAGAAUCACUUGAACCUGGGAGGCAGAGGUUGCAGUGAGCCGAGAUUGCACCACUGCACUCCAGCAGGCAAAACAGAGCAA
rnacentral:lncRNA from 1 species